CACAGUGUGAAUUCAGGCUGCGGGCUGUCCUUGCAUGCUGUGUCAAGGACAUCCAAGGGGACUCAGUCCUGACUCCAGCCUGGUGAUACACGGGUUCACUGAUUGAACAGAUGUUUAUUCAUUGAGCCCUGCAGGGUGCAGACCCUGCUCCAGUCUGAGGGUCCAGCAGGCUGUGGGACGGGCAUCCGUGCCCUCGCCAGGCUUGAAGGGAGACGGUGUUCCUGGGACCCUGGAGAACUGAAUGUGACGGGGACGCCACACUGGCCUGCUCCAUGGAGGGGAAAGGUGGUCGCUUAGAGGUGGAAGCCAAGAGCCACCACCCGGAGUGUGGGACGGUAACCAGGACUCCACCCAGGUCUGCAGAUUCCGCGAGGAGAAACCAGUGAGUUCAUUGAAAAUAAGCACCGAGCCCCAGCUUCAUCCUGGGCACCAUGCUCAGCCCCGAUGGGUCCAGCGGGAUGAACAGAACGCUGCCCUCGCCGACGACGCUCUGUGCUCGAGGGACCCGUGGUCACCCGCGGUGCGGCAGGACAGGCGCAACUCGCCCCCGCUCAGGACACAGAGACCCCGGUUCUCCUGCCUGCCGAGUGGGGAAGCUGGGCCCAGAAAGAGCCGCCGCAGGCGCAGAGCGCCAGGCAGCCCGCUGAGACUCUGUCUGAACUCCGACACUCCGCCCCGGGGGGCCUCCUGUCAUAGCACAGCCCGCAGUAUUUUGUAUUUUAAAUACUUCUCGGGCCGGGAAGGUGAGAUUCAAAACACCAAUCCCCAAAGCUGGAGUGAAAAUAAAUGUCAUUAUCCCCA
rnacentral:lncRNA from 1 species